UGAACGCUGGCGGCGUGCCUAAUACAUGCAAAUCGAGCGAACGGACGAGAAGCUUGCUUCUCUGAUGUUAGCGGCGGACGGGUGAGUAACACGUGGAUAACCUACCUAUAAGACUGGGAUAACUUCGGGAAACCGGAGCUAAUACCGGAUAAUAUUUUGAACCGCAUGGUUCACAAGUGAAAGACGGUCUUGCUGUCACUUAUAGAUGGAUCCGCGCUGCAUUAGCUAGUUGGUAAGGUAACGGCUUACCAAGGCAACGAUGCAUAGCCGACCUGAGAGGGUGAUCGGCCACACUGGAACUGAGACACGGUCCAGACUCCUACGGGAGGCAGCAGUAGGGAAUCUUCCGCAAUGGGCGAAAGCCUGACGGAGCAACGCCGCGUGAGUGAUGAAGGUCUUCGGAUCGUAAAACUCUGUUAUUAGGGAAGAACAUAUGUGUAAGUAACUGUGCACAUCUUGACGGUACCUAAUCAGAAAGCCACGGCUAACUACGUG
rnacentral:rRNA from 1 species